GCCGGGGUGGCGGAAUGGUAGACGCGUUCGACUCAAAAUCGAAUAUCGCAAGGUGUGAGAGUUCGAGUCUCUCCCUCGGCA
rnacentral:tRNA from 1 species